CCUACGGGAGGCAGCAGUGGGGAAUAUUGCACAAUGGGCGCAAGCCUGAUGCAGCCAUGCCGCGUGUGUGAAGAAGGCCUUCGGGUUGUAAAGCACUUUCAGUGGGGAGGAAGGCGGUGAGGUUAAUAACCUCAUCGAUUGACGUUACCCGCAGAAGAAGCACCGGCUAACUCCGUGCCAGCAGCCGCGGUAAUACGGAGGGUGCAAGCGUUAAUCGGAAUUACUGGGCGUAAAGCGCACGCAGGCGGUCUGUCAAGUCGGAUGUGAAAUCCCCGGGCUCAACCUGGGAACUGCAUUCGAAACUGGCAGGCUAGAGUCUUGUAGAGGGGGGUAGAAUUCCAGGUGUAGCGGUGAAAUGCGUAGAGAUCUGGAGGAAUACCGGUGGCGAAGGCGGCCCCCUGGACAAAGACUGACGCUCAGGUGCGAAAGCGUGGGGAGCAAACAGGAUUAGAUACCCCUGUAGUC
rnacentral:rRNA from 1 species